UGGGGAAUCUUGCGCAAUGGGCGAAAGCCUGACGCAGCGACGCCGCGUGAGGGAAGAAGGCCUUCGGGUUGUAAACCUCUUUCAGGAGGGACGAAGCUACUCGGGUGAAUAGCCCAGAGGGUGACGGUACCUCCAGAAGAAGCCCCGGCUAACUACGUGCCAGCAGCCGCGGUAAUACGUAGGGGGCAAGCGUUGUCCGGAUUUACUGGGCGUAAAGAGCGUGUAGGCGGCCAAACAGGUCCGUUGUGAAAACUGGAGGCUCAACCUCCAGACGUCGACGGAAACCGUAUGGCUAGAGUCCGGAAGAGGAGAGUGGAAUUCCUGGUGUAGCGGUGAAAUGCGCAGAUAUCAGGAAGAACACCUAUGGCGAAGGCAGCUCUCUGGGACGGUACUGACGCUGAGACGCGAAAGCGUGGGGAGCGAACAGG
rnacentral:rRNA from 1 species